rnacentral:tRNA from 1 species
UACCAAAGGAUAAUAGUAUUUCACUGGUCUUAGGC